GACGGGGGGGGCAAGUGUUCUUCGGAAUGACUGGGCGUAAAGGGCAUGUAGGCGGUGAAUCGGGUUGAAAGUGAAAGUCGCCAAAAAAGUGGCGGAAUGCUCUCGAAACCAAUUCACUUGAGUGAGACAGAGGAGAGUGGAAUUUCGUGUGUAGGGGGUGAAAUCCGUAGAUCUACGAAGGAACGCCAAAAGCGAAGGCAGCUCUCUGGGUCCCUACCGACGCUGGGGUGCGAAAGCAUGGGGAGCGAACAGG
rnacentral:rRNA from 1 species